rnacentral:rRNA from 1 species
AAUCAACGCUGGCGGCGUGCCUAACACAUGCAAGUCGAACGCGAAAGCCCUUUCGGGGGGUAAGUAGAGUGGCGUCCGGGUGAGUAACACGUAGGUAAUCUACCUUCGGGUGGGGAAUAACUCGCCGAAAGGACGAGCUAAUACCGCAUAAUGCAGCGGCACCUAAUGGUGAUUAGUUGUUAAAGGCGGGGGAUCGUAAGACCUCGCGCCUGAAGAGGAGCCUGCGGCAGAUUAGCUAGNGGUGAGGUAAUGGCUCACCAAGGCUUCGAUCUGUAGCUGGUCUGAGAGGACGGCCAGCCACACUGGCACUGACACACGGGCCAGACUCCUACGGGAGGCAGCAGUGGGAAUUUUGGGCAAUGGGCGCAAGCCUGACCCAGCAACGCCGCGUGGAGGGAGGAAA